rnacentral:rRNA from 1 species
UCGACUUCGGAAGGGGUGUAUUUAUUAGAUUAAAAACCAAUGCCCUCCGGGGCUUUCGGGUGAUUCAUAAUAACUUAACGAAUCGCAGGGCCUUGCGCCGGCGAUGGUUCAUUCAAAUUUCUGCCCUAUCAACUUUCGAUGGUACAGUUUUGGUCUACCAUGGUGUUAACGGGUAACGGGGAAUUAGGGUUCGAUUCCGGAGAGGGAGCCUGAGAAACGGCUACCACAUCCAAGGAAGGCAGCAGGCGCGCAAAUUACCCAAUAGCAAAACGCUGAGGUAGUGACAAUAAAUACUGAUCGGGGGCUCAUAUGGGCCUCCGAAUCGGAAUGAGUACAAUUUAAAUCCCUUAACGAGGAACAAUUGGAGGGCAAGUCUGGUGCCAGCAGCCGCGGUAAUUCCAGCUCCAAUAGCGUAUAUUAAAGUUGUUGCAGUUAAAAAGCUCGUAGUUGAACCUUGGGCCUGGCUGAUCGGUCCGCCUCACCGCGUGUACUGGUUCGGCCGGGUCUUUCCUUCUGGGGAUCCGCAUGCCCUUCGCUGGGCGUGCCGGGGAACCAGGACUUUUACUUUGAAAAAAUUAGAGUGUUCAAAGCAGGCCUAUGCUCGA